GCUGGAAUCGCUAGUAAUCGCGAAUCAGAAUGUCGCGGUGAAUACGUUCCCGGGUCUUGUACACACCGCCCGUCACACCAUGGGAGUCGGAAAUGCCCGAAGCCUGUGACCCAACCGAGAGGAGGGAGCAGUCGAAGGUGGAGCCGGUGACUGGGGUGAAGUCGUAACAAGGUAAC
rnacentral:rRNA from 1 species